UACGAAGGGGGCAAGCGUUACUCGGAAUUACUGGGCGUAAAGCGUGCGUAGGUGGUUUGUUAAGUCUGUUGUGAAAGCCCCGGGCUCAACCUGGGAAUGGCAAUGGAUACUGGCAGGCUAGAGUGCGGUAGAGGGUAGUGGAAUUCCCGGUGUAGCGGUGAAAUGCGUAGAGAUCGGGAGGAACACCAGUGGCGAAGGCGGCUACCUGGACCAGCACUGACACUGAGGCACGAAAGCGUGGGGAGCAAACAGG
rnacentral:rRNA from 1 species